GUCAGGAAGACCAAAUCUCUUGGGCCAAACUGAGUAACAAAGCCAUGCAUUGUACAUUUAUUACCUCAUACUAGAACUUAUUCUGAUCUCUUCAGUGGGCUGUGUGUACCCAGGAGGAGGGAGCUAGGUGUGGCCAUUGGAAAAGCUGUGUUUCUUAAUGCUGUGAUACUUUGGAGUGCAAGGAACUUUGCUCUGAUUCACAUCUGAGCUUAGCCAAAACACACUAUUCUACUCACUUCCUGAAAUCAGUGCUAUAAUGAAGUGUGGCAGGGCAUGUGGGUGUCUAGAGGCAGCAAUGAUGAGGAAUGCAGAAUUCUGACCUACCUGAGUGUCCCCAGCAUGACUUGGUGUCCCUAGCUUGCUGGGAUCAUCAGACAUGAACACCAUGCCACCACUACAAUUCUCUUCAGUUGAGGCAACUCUUCUACGGAACCCUAGCUACAAGACCCAAGAAAAAUCGUGUUAUCUAAGAGAGCAGUUAUUCUGACACAGACUGAUAUCAGGUGCCUGUGGCAUGAAACACGGAAGAGAAUAAUAGCAUCUACCUUAUAAGAAGACAUACUAUAUUCUGGACCACAUAUCUGAUAAUUCUUACAGCCCUUUAAAGAUAAUCAUAACUAGAAUAUUAUCUUAUUUUGUAGCUCAUAGAUGUCAAAAGACUAGCUCAUAAUUUUAUUGCGGAUACAUAGCAGAACCAAGAUUUGAACUCAGACCUGUCUCAUUCCACAACUCAUUUUCCUUGAAGUCAAUAGAUGCCACUGAUCUCUAAAUACCUACAAAAGGGGCUCGGAGGUGGAGAGGGGAUGUCUGAGGAGCCUUAGGACUACCACCCAAUGUUCUGUCUUUAGAUAGAGAUGCUAUCACCAAUCUCUCUUUCACACAUACUCCUCCUCUUCUCAUUUCUGUUCGUGUACUUGGUUCUCAGUGUAAGAUUUUGUUAGAAGAAAGAGGCAUGUUGGUAAAAUAAGAAAUAAUAUAUCAAAAAUAAAAUAAAAUUGUUUGAAAGUCUCUGCAGUGCUUUAACA
rnacentral:lncRNA from 1 species